AUUGAACGCUGGCGGCAUGCUUUACACAUGCAAGUCGAACGGUAACAGGCCGCAAGGUGCUGACGAGUGGCGAACGGGUGAGUAAUGCAUCGGAACGUGCCCAGUCGUGGGGGAUAACGCAGCGAAAGCUGUGCUAAUACCGCAUACGAUCUGUGGAUGAAAGCGGGGGACCGAAAGGCCUCGCGCGAUUGGAGCGGCCGAUGUCAGAUUAGGUAGUUGGUGGGGUAAAGGCUCACCAAGCCAACGAUCUGUAGCUGGUCUGAGAGGACGACCAGCCACACUGGGAAUGAGACACGGCCCAGACUCCUACGGGAGGCAGCAGUGGGGAAUUUUGGACAAUGUGCGCAAGCCUGAUCCAGCAAUGCCGCGUGCAGGAAGAAGGCCUUCGGGUUGUAAACUGCUUUUGUACGGAGCGAAAAGGCUCUCUCUAAUACAGGGGGCUCAUGACGGUACCGUAAGAAUAAGCACCGGCUAACUACGUGCCAGCAGCCGCCGUAACAC
rnacentral:rRNA from 1 species